CAGACCUUGGCCUAAUGGUAAGGCGUUGCUUUCCGGCAUUCUUCUGGAGCGUGGCAAAGAUUGUGGGUUCGAGUCCCAUAGGUGUCG